rnacentral:rRNA from 1 species
AAAUCGGGCUAAAUUCCGUCCAAGGCUAAAUAUUGGCGAGAGACCGAUAGCAAACAAGUACCGCGAGGGAAAGAUGAAAAGGACUUUGAGAAAAGAGUCAAAGAGUACUUGAAAUUGUCGGGAGGGAAGCGGAUGGGGGCCGGCGGUGCGUCCCGGUCGGAUGUGGAACGGCGAGUAGCCGGUCUGCCGAUCGACUCGGGGCGUGGACCGACGCGGAUUGGGGCGGCGUCGCAAGCCCGAGCCUUUGUUGUGCUCGCGGAGACGUCGUCGCCUCGAUCGUGGCUGGCAGCGCGCGCCCUUGGCGUGCUUCGGCAUCAGCGUGCUCCAGGCGUCGGCCUGCGGGCUCCCCAUUCGGCCCGUCUUGAAACACGGACCAAGGAGUCUGACAUGUGUGCGAGUCAACGGGCCAUAAAACCCGUGAGGCGCAAGGAAGCUGACUGGCGGGAUCCCCUUGAGGGUUGCACCGCCGACCGACCUUGAUCUUCUGAGAAGGGUUCGAGUGUGAGCAUGCCUGUCGGGACCCGAAAGAUGGUGAACUAUGCCUGAGC